rnacentral:rRNA from 1 species
UACAGAGGUCCCAAGCGUUGUUCGGAUUCACUGGGCGUAAAGGGUGCGUAGGUGGCCAGGUAAGUUUGGUGUGAAAGCGUCGGAGCUUAACUCCGAAAAGUCAUUGAAUACUAUCUGGCUGGAGGGUCGGAGGGGAGACUGGAAUUCUCGGUGUAGCAGUGAAAUGCGUAGAUAUCGAGAGGAACACCAGUGGCGAAGGCGAGUCUCUGGACGACUCCUGACACUGAGGCACGAAAGCUAGGGGAGCAAACAGG